rnacentral:rRNA from 1 species
UACGAAGGUCCCAAGCGUUAUCCGGAUUUAUUGGGUUUAAAGGGUGCGUAGGCGGGCUAUUAAGUCAGUGGUGAAAUCUCCGAGCCUAACUCGGAAAUUGCCAUUGAUACUGAUGGUCUUGAGUACAUUUGAAGUGGGCGGAAUGUGUCAUGUAGCGGUGAAAUGCUUAGAUAUGACACAGAACACCGAUUGCGUAGGCAGCUCACUAAACUGUAACUGACGCUGAGGCACGAAAGCGUGGGGAUCAAACAGG